rnacentral:rRNA from 1 species
UGGCGGCAGGCUUAACACAUGCAAGUCGAGCGGGCAUAGCAAUAUGUCAGCGGCAGACGGGUGAGUAACGCGUGGGAACGUACCUUUUGGUUCGGAACAACUGAGGGAAACUUCAGCUAAUACCGGAUAAGCCCUUACGGGGAAAGAUUUAUCGCCGAAAGAUCGGCCCGCGUCUGAUUAGCUAGUUGGUGAGGUAAUGGCUCACCAAGGCGACGAUCAGUAGCUGGUCUGAGAGGAUGAUCAGCCACAUUGGGACUGAGACACGGCCCAAACUCCUACGGGAGGCAGCAGUGGGGAAUAUUGGACAAUGGGCGCAAGCCUGAUCCAGCCAUGCCGCGUGAGUGAUGAAGGCCCUAGGGUUGUAAAGCUCUUUUGUGCGGGAAGAUAAUGACGGUACCGCAAGAAUAAGCCCCGGCUAACUUCGUGCCAGCAGCCGCGGUAAUACGAAGGGGGCUAGCGUUGCUCGGAAUCACUGGGCGUAAAGGGUGCGUAGGCGGGUCUUUAAGUCAGGGGUGAAAUCCUGGAGCUCAACUCCAGAACUGCCUUUGAUACUGAAGAUCUUGAGUUCGGGAGAGGUGAGUGGAACUGCGAGUGUAGAGGUGAAAUUCGUANAUAUUCGCAGGAACACCAGUGGCGAAGGCGGCUCACUGGCCCGAUACUGACGCUGAAGCACGAAAGCGUGGGGAGCAAACAGGAUUANAUACCCUGGUANUCCACGCCGUAAACGAUGAAUGCCANCCGUUAGUGGUUUUACUCACUAGUGGCGCAGCUAACGCUUUAAGCAUUCCGCCUGGGGAGUACGGUCGCAAGAUUAAAACUCAAAGGAAUUGACGGGGGCCCGCACAAGCGGUGGAGCAUGUGGUUUAAUUCGACGCAACGCGCAGAACCUUACCAGCCCUUGACAUCCCGGUCGCGGACUCCAGAGACGGAGUUUUUCAGUUCGGCUGGACCGGAGACAGGUGCUGCAUGGCUGUCGUCAGCUCGUGUCGUGAGAUGUUGGGUUAAGUCUCGCAACGAGCGCAACCCCCGUCCUUAGUUGCUACCAUUUAGUUGAGCACUCUAAGGAGACUGCCGGUGAUAAGCCGCGAGGAAGGUGGGGAUGACGUCAAGUCCUCAUGGCCCUUACGGGCUGGGCUACACACGUGCUACAAUGGCGGUGACAAUGGGAUGCUAAGGGGCGACCCUUCGCAAAUCUCAAAAAGCCGUCUCAGUUCGGAUUGGGCUCUGCAACUCGAGCCCAUGAAGUUGGAAUCGCUAGUAAUCGUGGAUCAGCACGCCACGGUGAAUACGUUCCCGGGCCUUGUACACACCGCCCGUCACACCAUGGGAGUUGGUUUUACCUGAAGACGGUGCGCUAACCGAAAGGGGGCAGCCGGCCACGGUAGGGUCAGCGACUGGGGUGAAGUCGUAACAAGGUAUCCAAGG